UAGACCGCCUGGGGAGUACGGCCGCAAGGUUAAAACUCAAAUGAAUUGACGGGGGCCCGCACAAGCGGUGGAGCAUGUGGUUUAAUUCGAUGCAACGCGAAGAACCUUACCUGGUCUUGACAUCCACAGAAGUUUCCAGAGAUGGAUUUGUGCCUUCGGGAACUGUGAGACAGGUGCUGCAUGGCUGUCGUCAGCUCGUGUUGUGAAAUGUUGGGUUAAGUCCCGCAACGAGCGCAACCCUUAUCCUUUGUUGCCAGCGAUUAGGUCGGGAACUCAAAGGAGACUGCCAGUGAUAAACUGGAGGAAGGUGGGGAUGACGUCAAGUCAUCAUGGCCCUUACGACCAGGGCUACACACGUGCUACAAUGGCGCAUACAAAGAGAAGCGACCUCGCGAGAGCAAGCGGACCUCAUAAAGUGCGUCGUAGUCCGGAUUGGAGUCUGCAACUCGACUCCAUGAAGUCGGAAUCGCUAGUAAUCGUGGAUCAGAAUGCCACGGUGAAUACGUUCCCGGGCCUUGUACACACCGCCCGUCACACCAUGGGAGUGGGUUGCAAAAGAAGUAGGUAGCUUAACCUUCGGGAGGGCGCUUACCACUUUGUGAUUCAUGACUGGGGUGAAGUCGUAACAAGGUAACCGUAGGGGAACCUGCGGUUGGAUCACCUCCUUACCUUAAAGAAGC
rnacentral:rRNA from 1 species